GCCAGGCAGGGUGGUGUGUGCCUGUAAUCCCAGUGGCUCAGGAGGCUGAGGCAGGAGGAUCUCCGAGUUCAAAGCCAAUGUCAGCAACUUAGUGAGGCCCUAAGCAACUCAGUGAGACCCUGUCUCUA
rnacentral:sRNA from 1 species